UACGUAGGUGGCAAGCGUUGUCCGGAAUUAUUGGGCGUAAAGCGCGCGCAGGUGGUUUCUUAAGUCUGAUGUGAAAGCCCACGGCUCAACCGUGGAGGGUCAUUGGAAACUGGGGAACUUGAGUGCAGGAGAGAAGAGUGGAAUUCCACGUGUAGCGGUGAAAUGCGUAGAGAUGUGGAGGAACACCAGUGGCGAAGGCGACUUUUUGGCCUGUAACUGACACUGAGGCGCGAAAGCGUGGGGAGCAAACAGG
rnacentral:rRNA from 1 species